GAUGAAGAACGCAGCGAAAUGCGAUAAGUAAUGUGAAUUGCAGAAUUCAGUGAAUCAUCGAAUCUUUGAACGCACCUUGCGCCCUUUGGCUAUUCCGAAGGGCAUGCCUGUUUGAGUAUCGUGAACACCUCAACUCUCAUGGUUUGCCAUGAUGAGCUUGGACUUUGGGGGAUUUGCUGGCCUUUGGUCGGCUCCUCUCAAACGGAUCAGCUUUCCAGUGUUUGGUGGCAUCACGGGUGUGAUAACUAUCUACGCCUGUGGUUUUCUGCCAGAUAACCUUCAGCGAUGGAGGUUCGCUGGGGCUCAUAAAUGUCUCUCUUCAGUGGAGACAGCUUUUUGGACGUUUGAUCUCAAAUCAGGUAGGACUACCCGCUGAACUUAAGCAUAUCAAUAAGCGGAGGA
rnacentral:misc_RNA from 1 species